ensembl:misc_RNA 7SK 7SK RNA
GGAUGUGAGGGCGACUUGGCUGAGACAUCUGUCACUUCAUUGAUCGCCAGGGUUGUUUCGGUUGAUCUGGCUGUGUAGGCGGGUGUCCCCUUCCUCCCUCAUAGCUCCAUGUGCAUCCCUCCCAAAGCUGUGCACUCCAUAGAAGAGGACGACCUUCCCCAGUAGAGGAGAGGACCAUUCCUCAGUCAAGGGUAUACAAGUAGCUGUACUCCCCUACUAGAACCUCCAAACAAGCUCUCGAGGUCCAUUUGUAGGAGAACGUAGGGUAGUUAAGCUUCCAAGACUGCAGACUCAUCCAAAUGAAGUACUGUAUGUGGCAGUUUGCUUUUAUUU